rnacentral:tRNA from 1 species
AUACCCCGAAAACGUUGGACUCAACCAACCUUUGCUA